rnacentral:tRNA from 1 species
UCCCUUGUGGCUUACCUGGUAAAGAAUCUGCCUGCAGUGCGGGAGACCUAGGUUCGAUCUCUAGUUUGGGAA